rnacentral:rRNA from 1 species
ACGGAAGGCAGCAGUGGGGGAUAUUGGACAAUGGAGGAAACUCUGAUCCAGCGACGCCGCGUGAGUGAAGAAGUAUUUCGGUAUGUAAAGCUCUAUCAGCAGGGAAGAAAAAGCGCAAGCAUUGACUGUACCUGACUAAGAAGCCCCGGCUAACUACGUGCCAGCAGCCGCGGUAAUACGUAGGGGGCAAGCGUUAUCCGGAUUUACUGGGUGUAAAGGGUGCGUAGGCGGCACGGCAAGUCAGAAGUGAAAUCCCAGGGCUCAACCCUGGAACUGCUUUUGAAACUGUCGAGCUAGAGUACAGGAGAGGUAAGCGGAAUUCCUAGUGUAGCGGUGAAAUGCGUAGAUAUUAGGAGGAACACCAGUGGCGAAGGCGGCUUACUGGACUGACACUGACGCUGAGGCACGAAAGCGUGGGGAGCAAACAGGAUUAGAUACCCUGGUA